rnacentral:rRNA from 1 species
CCAGGCCCUACGGGGUGCAGCAGGCGCGAAACCUCCGCAAUGUGAGAAAUCGCGACGGGGGGAUCCCAAGUGCCAUUCUUAACGGGAUGGCUUUUCAUUAGUGUAAAGAGCUUUUGGAAUAAGAGCUGGGCAAGACCGGUGCCAGCCGCCGCGGUAACACCGGCAGCUCUAGUGGUAGCAGUUUUUAUUGAGCCUAAAGCGUCCGUAGCCGGUUUAAUAAGUCUCUGGUGAAAUCCUGCAGCUUAACUGUGGGAAUUGCUGGAGAUACUAUUAGACUUGAGAUCGGGAGAGGUUAGAGGUACUCCCAGGGUAGAGGUGAAAUUCUGUAAUCCUGGGAGGACCGCCUGUUGCGAAGGCGUCUGACUGGAACGAUUCUGACGGUGAGGGACGGAAGCUAGGGGCGCGAACCGGAUUAGAUACCCGGGUAGUCCUAGCUGUAAACGAUGCGGACUUGGUGUUGGGGUGGCUUUGAGCUGUCCCAGUGCCGAAGGGAAGCUGUUAAGUCCGCCGCCUGGGAAGUACGGUCGCAAGACUGAAACUUAAAGGGAUUGGCGGGGGAGCACCACAACGCGUGGAGCCUGCGGUUUAAUUGGAGUCAACGCCGG